rnacentral:rRNA from 1 species
GUGAGCCAGUACAGGAUGGACCCGCGUCUGAUUAGCUAGUUGGUAAGGUAACGGCUUACCAAGGCGACGAUCAGUAGCCGACCUGAGAGGGUGAUCGGCCACAUUGGAACUGAGACACGGUCCAAACUCCUACGGGAGGCAGCAGUGGGGAAUAUUGCACAAUGGGCGAAAGCCUGAUGCAGCAACGCCGCGGGAGUGAUGAAGGCCUUCGGGUCGUAAAACUCUGUCCUCAAGGAAGAUAAUGACGGUACUUGAGGAGGAAGCCCCGGCUAACUACGUGCCAGCAGCCGCGGUAAUACGUCGGGGGCUAGCGUUAUCCGGAUUUACUGGGCGUAAAGGGUGCGUAGGCGGUCUUUCAAGGCAGGAGUGAAAGGCUACGGCUCAACCGUAGUAAGCUCUUGAAACUGGGAGACUUGAGUGCAGGAGAGG